CUGCAAUUAGCGGAAUGCCAGCCAGCAGGUGGAGACGCAUGAAAGCAAUCCCAGAGCACGGACGGGCUGCCUCGACACCGCAUUCCCAUAGCCCCGGCCAAGCCAGCCAGAAAAUAUCGGUAUUGGCUCCACGGAAAAGUGCAGAACUAAAAAUCUUGGAUUGCUGACAGGACAUGUGACGGAGCAGCCCCUGCUGAGGAGCCGUCCAGCACCUUUCAUGUCUCAGUUUGCAGCACUGAGGUGACAUCAAUGGCUUCUGGGCUGUCACCAGGACAGAAAAACCAGAGGCCAUGUGAGCAAGCUUGUCACACACCCUGCCUGAUGAUAAGGUCAACUGCUGGCUUGUUGUGUGAUCCCAGACAAAGCCCUAGAGCUCCUUCUGACUCAUCUUCUCUGCCUGGAAAUCAAAUCCAGUUUCUUAAGGAACUUUUUGGAUCUUGGGUUAGAGUGAUGACCCCAGCCAUGGAUGAAAGCCGAGUUUCCCAUCUGACCUCUUGUUUUAAGUUUCUACCUGUGUAACUCUGCAUUGUGGAUAUUAACUCUCUGGGGCCUGUAGGUGAGCACAACACUGAGAGCAAAUGAAAGGUGGAGCUCUCCUUUAAGGAACCUGAAGUUUAAGGAGCGUUAUUCCCAGAGUUAACUCCAUUUGUGCUGGAAUUCCCUUGGAGAUCAAAUUCUACAGUGUGACUGCUUACAAAACCUGUGGGGCUCCAAAAACCCACAGAGGGAGGAAGGUAGGUAUUUCUGCCCUGCUGGAGGGGAUCAUUUGUCUGAAGAAAGAGAAAGGAGCGCCCAUGAAUGUGUGGUAGGGCCAAGCCAGCCUGGCCUGGCAGUUCCUCAGGGAUUUGGGCUGGGCAGGAACACCAUCAGCUGCAUCCCUGCUCUGAAGGCAGCACCUAAACCCGGUGUGAAACCCAAGCAGAUCCCUCAUGUGUGUUAGGCUCUUUCCCCAGGCACUCCCCCCUGGACCUGGCAGAGCAUUUUCCAUCAGGCAGAGCUGCUCCAUCCACCCUUUUCCUGGUUGCUCAGCAUGACCCAAAUUUUCUGGUUGCUCAGGACCCAAAUUUUAACUGCCACACAUACUGCAAGUGUGAUUCAUGCCUCCAAACACAAUGUAGGUGCAUAACUAAGACCCAGUGAAUCAUGUUGUGGAAGUGCCUGGCUUUUUCCAGUGACUGUAGCUCAGAUAGAGGAAUGAAGAGCAGCUGAAGCGUGGUGGAGCUGCUCCCACAGCACAUGCCUGUUAUCUCAGUUUUUCAGAUCAUGUUUAGACACCUCACAAGAUCUGGAAGGGGGUGGUUAAUCUCCAAAUCAUUCUGCUGGCCAGGGCUUUACAGUGUGUUUUUGUACUAAAAAAUAAGUGACGUCACAUAAGUGCAAUUGACCUGUAAAAACCAAAUAAAUCUGGGCUCCUUCUCUGUAGGUGAUAAAGA
rnacentral:lncRNA from 1 species